rnacentral:lncRNA from 1 species
GCAGCGUGUGGGUGGAGUCAUGCGAUAGAGGGAAAAGGUCUCCCUGUAACAUCACUGCUGUCCUCUUCUCUUGUUCUCGUGCAUACUGCUCGAUCUGAGAAACGAGUAUAUACGUCUCGCCCUCCGUCUUCCGUUCUCGGCUGCUCCCGCGCUGUUGUUGUCGCUACCGGGACGCACGCAGACCCCUUCGAAACCGAGGUGCAUGUGGCAUUUCUACGUACACCGCCCGGAACUUAUGUAGCACGGGCAAUCAUGGUCAUCUCGAACGUCUUUUCAGUGGCAAUCUCGAAAGAUCGGUUGCAGUGUUGCCUUGUCGCAGACUACAAUCAUAUCAAUAUAUGUAUGAAUAUGAGAGAUAACAAAACGCAAUAA